rnacentral:rRNA from 1 species
AACGAACGCUGGCGGCAUGCCUAACACAUGCAAGUCGAACGAACUCUUCGGAGUUAGUGGCGCACGGGUGCGUAACGCGAGGGAAUCUGCCCUUGGGUACGGAAUAACUCAGAGAAAUUUGUGCUAAUACCGUAUAAUGUCUUCGGACCAAAGAUUUAUCGCCCAAGGAUGAGCCCGCGUAAGAUUAGCUAGUUGGUGGG